AUCAGGCUUGAUCUUGCCUGGACUAAGGGGAGGCCAUGGGUGAGCUUGCUUUUUGAGGAAAAAGGAGGUGAGAUCAUUGAUGAGCUUUCCUUACUUGAGAGUCAGGGGAUGAGGUCACACCUGGGUUUGUGUUAUUUGGGAGAAGAAAGAGUGAGAUCAUGCUGUUUCCCUUAUUUUGUAUCAAUAAGUGAGGGGAGGAGGUACACCUUAUUUAAGAGGUUGAGGUGGUUUGGAAGGCCUUCUGCCUCUAAACUGAGGGUUGCCCUGACCGGGCAGAGCCUGGGAGCAACCCCUCCCCAGGCAGUUCAGUGCUUGGCUGGUUUUGCUGUAUUGCUCAGGUCACCGAGGGCUGCACUACGGCUUUCAUGAGCCCCGAUGGCUUUUGCCUUCGUGAGCCUUUUCCUCCAUUAAAAUUUUUAAAGAUUUUACAACUGUGUUGGUAUAAAAAUUAAUAUAAUACAGGCCAGAUUUAUUAUUAUAUAAGCAAUUUAUUUUUCUUCUGAUUUGAAAAGAAAUUAAAAUUAAAACAUUUUUGUGGGCCUCUAAAAGCCCUCUGUGCCUAUUGCUCCUAAUGGAUGAAUUGGUCCUGAGGUCACUGGGACAGUCAGGACUCUUCUGGCCUUCAGAAAGAAAUCUGGGGCUGGAGCCAGAGCAGAGAGGGCCCCACCCACCCCCUAACUUCACUUUACCUCUCUGAGACACUCUACCAGGGAAUUGACUAAGAGAACUGUGCAGAGCUGGCCCGUCUUCUUGUAGAGUCACACACCACAUAACAAUGUUUCAGUCAGCGGCAGAUCACAUAUACGACAGUGGUCCCAUAAGAUUAUAAUGGAGCUGAAAAAUUCCUACUGCCCUCAGCCCCGCGGCGGCUCGGCUCGCAGCCCUGAAAGUACCGUGGAGCCAUGUGGUCACUACCGCCUAGUGAUGCUGUAGCUGUUGUAACAUUGUAGUGCAACACAUUACUCACGUGUUUGUGGUAAUGCUGGUGUAAACAAACCUAUUGCUAGUCAUAUAAAAGCAUAGCACGUACAAUUAUGUACAGUACAUAAUAUUUGAUAAUAAAUGACUGUGUUACUGGUUUAUGUGUUUACCAUACGUUGCUAUUUUAGAGUAUACUCCUUCUUCUUAUUAAAAAAGUUAACUGUAAAGCAGCCUCAGGAAGGUCCUUUGGGAGGUAUUCUAGAAGAAGGCAUUGUUCUCAUAGGAGACGACAGUUCCAUGUGUGUCACUGCCCCUGAAGACCUUCCAAUGGGCAAGAUAUGGAGGUAGGUGAUAUUGAUGAUCCUGACUGUGGGUAGGCCUAGGCUAAUGUGUGUGUUUGUGUUUUAGUUCAAAAAGAAAAAAAAAAAAGAAGAAACUUAAAGAACAAAGAUAUAAAUAGUAUUUUUGUACAGUUGUACAAUAUAUUUGUACUUUAAACCAAGUGUUAUAAAAGAGACAAAAUGUUUAAAAAACGAAAAUAAUUUUUAAGUCAAAAAGCUCUGGUAAACUAAGGCUAAUUUGUUAUUGAAAGAGUAAAAAAAAAUUUGUUUAUACAUUGGGUGUAGCCUAAGUGUGCAGUGUUUAUAAAGUCUAUGGUAGCAUACAGUAAUGUCCUACGCCUUCAUAUUCACUCACCACUCACUCACUGACUCACACAGAGCAGCUUCCAGUCCUGCAAGAUUCAUUCAUGAGUCAACUGGGUACAAGUCACAAUGGUAAGCACCACAGAGAAAUACAGAGAUAAAGAAGUCUUGGUUUCUGCACUCACUGGGCCUCCAACUUUGGAAGGAAAGAUAUGAUAAGUCCUAAAACAACAUAAUCCAAGUGGGCCCUAGAUUGGAUUUGGACGGAUGAAACUGACAAUAGAAAGGGCAUUUCUAUGAAUAUCCAACACUCUGCAUGUCCCUGUCUGAUCAAAGUACAUAGACAGAAAAUCCUGAAAUAGUAUACUUUAAGAAUUUGGACUUCACUUACCCCAAGUAAAUACAAGGAAGAUUUUUGUCUAAGACCCUCUCCACAAAGACGACUUGAGAGCCAGGUAAAUGGCUACAUCUGAACAAAAUACUCAUAGCAGAUUUCAGAUUGUUUUCCUUCAGGUCCAAUUCCUGGAGGCUGAGUAGGCUGAACACAGCAUGAGGAAUACGCUCCAGGUCACAGUGGACCAACUCCAGUUCUGUCAGAUUGGUCAUCUUCUUUAAGUUGUUGAGCAUCACCAGCUUGGUGCCAUCAUUAUGUAUGCACAUCUUCUGGAGAUGGCUGGAAACAUCAACCACUGCC